GUACAUUCUAUCAGAGCUUAUAAGCUCUUUGUUCAUUUAAUCAGAGCUUGUGGUUCUUCGUUCAUUCAUUUAGAGCUUAUAGCUCUUUGUUUAUUUAGUCAGAGCUUUUGUGCUCUUCGUUCAUUUGCCACGUCAUCUGUGAAAAAUAUUCCCCUACAAUAGCCCUUCUCAUCUUCAUAUAUCAUGCUCUGCACUUAUUUGUAUGAAGAUGAUCAAUUUUACUAACUCUUCCAUUUUCCCCACUCUUUUACUUUCACUUUCGUUCAACUGACACCUGGCAUUUAUUAUCUAUCUUUUCAAUCUGACACCCAUCAGGCGAGAAAAUUUCUCACUUCUUUAACUAUCUCUUCACUUUCCUUUUCGCCUACUAUUUUCAAAAACAAAAAACUCACCGCCAUCUGAAAAUUGUUUUCUUAGCAUUUGCAAACUACGUCAACGUUACCUCUCCCGUUCUUAUUUAGCAAAAUUUUCACCAUGGGCAUCUGGCGAUUAGCCAAACCUUCCAAAACCAAGACUCCCAGACCCUUCCAUACUAGGUAUUUGGAUGCUUUUGAAGAAAUUCAACAUAAGAGGAUUAUCCCCUCAUAUCUGUCAAUCUGACUUCUUGAUUCCGAUCAGCCCUCACGGUAGCGUUCUAAAGAUAUCGUUCAACCUGGUAAAAUAAUCAUCGGAGCCAAACAUUGAUAGUGACUUCAAUUUCCAUUUGCUCCCUUACUUGUUCAUUUUAUCCAUCUCACCAGUGUUCAUUUGAUGCAACAUGUACCAAAUGUUGUUUAAUCAAUAUAUGUGUCGCUCCCAUUCAUGCCACACUAUGUCAACUCCGCACCACGGUGAAUGAUAUUUUCAGUUGCUUUUCAAAGAUUUAUUUAUCCACCAAUUCAGAGCGGUCUUUCCCUAAUUUUUAUCUUACACCCAAAAAGAAUCAAUGGUUCUUUUCUGGUCUUCCUUAUACAAAUAGGGUUUGGGAAGAAUUUCCUUUUAUAAUUGGAGGCAAUUGGUACCCCUCAUACUUUCCCAACAAGCUAUUUCCUCUCCCUAGGAUCUUCAUUGAAGAGAAAUGGCCUAGCAUUCUUCCUGUUUGUGGGAUCCUAAGCGUGGGGAUUCAUUCCUCUCUCAAGGGAAGGUGGAUCUACUACCAGACCUCGGUUGUUGGAGAGAGCUUACUACCCCUACUAGAAAUCCAAGAUGUGAGCAUUUCUGAAGGCUCUUGAUGAGCGAGUAUGGAUGGUUGUUUCAGAAGGAUGGUCACCUUUGAAGUUUACAGAAGGUGAUGCUCAAGUCAUCAAGAAACUAACUAACUGGACUCAAGACAAUAUGGAUAAGUCAUAUUACAAUUCUGAAACUUUUCAUGCUAUUUUCAAUGCGGUCUCGACAAACAAGAUGAAGGACAUUGCCCUGUGAAGUCACCAAAGAUGUCUGGGAGAAGCUUAAGACAUGUAAUGAAGGAACUGAUGGUGUCAAGAAAUCAAGAUUGCGCUUCUUUGCUCGAGAUUUUGAAAACUUGACUAUGGAUGAUGGUGAUAUGGUUGCUGAAUUUUAUGCAAAGUUCUGUAAUAAUUCAAAUGAGUCUUAUGCCCUCGGCAUGGUUUAUUCCAAUGAAAAACAAGUCUGAAAGGUUCUUGGCAUGCUACCAUAUAUGUUCAAGCCUAAGGUCACUUCAACUGAGGAAGUUCGUGACAUCGAAACUUUGGAUCUGGAUGAACUGAUUGGUUCUCUUCAAAAUUACGAACUAACCUUAAAAAUGUGGCAUAAAGAUAAGCGAGUGAAAGAACAUGACAAAGACAAAGACAAGGCCGAUGAUAGUCUUUCCUUUUUGCAUAAAGAAGAUCAUGACAAAACAUCUCUUCAUGCUGAUACCUUUAUUAAGAAUAGUGUUUCCCUCUUAACUAGAAACUAUGCUAAGUUUUUGAAAAAGAAAAUGAAUCAAAAAAACUUCAAUAAUAAAGAGAAUUCUUUCAAAAAGCAUACUUCUUUUCCUCUAAAAUAGGGUCAGCCUCAAGAACGAAAGGCUAGAGGAAUCCAGGGUUGGGAAUGUAAAGAUUUUGGUCACAUUCAAGCUGAAAAUGCCAAUACUAUGAAGAAGAAGAAAAAAGCACUGGCAGUUACUUGGAGCGAUAGUUAUGAUGAUAAGGAUGGUAAUUCCAGUGCCAAUUCGGACCAAUAAAAGAGCAAGGUUGCAUUUUUGGACAAGAGUGUUCUGCCUGAUGAUAUAGAAGAUGAUGUUCAGCCAAGUUCCUCUAAACAAAAAUUUCUUGAUCAAAAAACAACUUAUGAGCAGAUGUAUAAGAAAUUGUUAGCUAUGGUUCAAAAGUUGAAACUACUAUAGGACAUGAACAUGUCUCGUACUGCUACUAACGAGGACUUACAGGCCAAACUCAAUGACCUGGAUGAUAAACUUUACUCAACUAAGGGAGAUCCUGAGCAUGCACAAUAAGCCUUAUCCUUUAUUCCUCCUGAAUAACAGCUCAUUUAAAUCAAUCACUGCACAUUCAACAACCUUAUCUUGAUAACAAGGCGCUUGGGUACAAGCUACUGUAUAAAAAAGGACAAUAUUUUCCUAUGGUUGAUCCCCUUUUUCAUCCUCAUUCAAAAAUAUCUCUUUUGAUAAAAAAUAAUCUACUUCAGCUGAUGUGUAUACUCUAGUGACAGGUGACUCGGGGACAUCAAACAACCAAGCUCAACUCUCGUUUGAAUGACAGUCCAAAUUUUCCAGUUCUAAAUCUUAUGUUGCACCAGUUGGUUCUAAAAAAGCACAUACUAUGCCUCCUCCAUCAAAAAAGUUUGUUCCUGUAUGUCAUUUCUAUCAUAGACGAGCUCAUAUUCGCCCACGGUGCUAUUUGCUUCAAUCUUAUCCAUGCAAUGUAAUUGAACGAAGAGCAAGACCUGUUAGUUUUUCUCCUGUCCAAGGGAGACACUCUAUAGUCCAAUGGAAACCCACAGCAGGUCACGACCAAAGCCAUUCCAAAGAGUCUGCUGGAGUACAAAAUUUAUUAGCCUCAUCAUCUCUACUUGCGUUUCAAGGUGAUCAGUAGUACUUUGACGGUGGUUGUUCGAAGCACAUGACUGGGAACAAAAAUCUCAUUAUCCCCUUUCAAGAAAUAAAAGGAGGUUUAGUUUCUUUUAGUGAUGGCAAUAAGGGAGUUAUUCGAGGAAAUGGAGAGUUAGUUCUAACUGGGUUUCCAUUCUUAAAUGAUGUCUUAUAUGUUGAAGGUCUCAAAGCAAAUCUAAUUAGUGUUUCUCAGCUAUGCGACUUCAAUAACACUAACUCUCUAUCACAGAAUCUCCUUACAGAAAUUUGAAUUGUGGCAUUACAAAUUGGGUAAACUCAACUACUGAGUUCUUCAAAGGAUUACGAAGACUAAGGCAGCUAGAGGAAUCCCAAAGUUCAAAGUUCUUCAAGACAGAGUGUGCGGACCAUGUAAACUAGCCAAGAAAGUGAAGACUUCUCACCCUCCAAUUUUAAUGUUGUUAACCACAUGAGCUAUGGAGCUUCUUCAUGUUGAUAUGAUGGGGCCAAUCCAUAAUGAAAUUUUGAAUGGAAAGCGAUAUGUCAUGGUUUAUGUUGAUGAAUUCUCACGAUAUACUUGGGUUAAUGCCAUUCAUGAGAAAUCAGAAACUUUUGGUGUGUUCUCUGCUCUCUAUUUAAAGAUGCAAAAUGAGAAAGCUCAGAAGAUUGUGAAGGUGUACUGGAUCAGAAGUGACCAUGGUCGUGAGUUUGAGAAUGUUUUGUUUUAUGAGUUUUGUGAUCGGUUGGGAAUUGCUUAUGAGUUUUCUGCUCCUAAAAUUCCUCAACAGAAUGGUGUAGUCGAAAGAAAAAACAGGACUCUUCAAGAAACGACAUGGGUUAUGUUGAAUACCAAACGCAUUUCUAAGAGAUUUUGGGCGAAAAUUAUUAAUACAGCUUGUUAUAUUAGUAAUAGGGUGCAUCUCUAGACAGGUACUACUCAAAAUCACUAUGAACUCUGGAAAGGAAAAACAAUCUGUCUUACUUAAGUAUUUUUGGGUGCAAGUGUUUUGUGCUAAAUGAUAGAGAAUAUCUUGGAAAGUUUGACUCUAAGAGUGAUGAAGGUGUUUUCCAUGGAUAUUAUCAAAAUAGUCGGGCUUAUAGAGUUUAUAAUAAAAGAACUCACACAGUCAUGGAGUCAAUCAAUGUUCGAUUUGAUGAUUUGGAAGUUUCAGAUAAGGAUAACAUUGAUGAUGAUCAAUCUAUCCUUGAAAUUCCUCAAUGGAGUCAUCUUGAUCAAGAUCCUGCUUGUCAUGACUCAUCAACUAGCUCAGCUAACAUAGGUCAGUCUGAGGAUACAGGAGACAUGUCUAGUAGUGACUCUCACUUGAAUACCAAUAGUGUUGACUCCCAACGAAGGUCUUCACUAGCUAAGAUUUACAAAAACAGACCUCCUUCGUGGAUUCAGAAAGCUCAUUUGCAUACUGUAGUGCUUGACAAUCCAAAUGACAGAAUGAUUACUAGAAGUAAGUUGAUGAAUGAAAUAUCUCAUUCAUGUUAUAUUUCCAUGGUGGAACCUAAAUUGACUAAGAAAGCCCUGACUGAUGAGCAUUAGAUUUCUGCAAUGCAAGAUUAAUUGCAACAAUUUGGGCAGAAUUGGGUGUGGGAUUUGGUUGAAUGGCCAAAGGAUGCCAACAUUGUUGGUACUAAAUGGGUUUUUAAAAUUAAAAUUGAUGUGUUUGGAAAUGUCACAAGGAAUAAGGCUCGAAUUUUUGCUCAAGGCUACAAUCAAGUAGAAGGCAUUGACUUUGGUGAGACAUCUGCAGCAGUGACCAGACUAGAAUCUAUUCGUCUUUUGUUGCCUAUAACAUGUCAACUGAAGAUCUGGUUGCAUCAAAUGGAUGUCGAAAGUGCUUUUCUUAAUGGAAUACAAAAAGAAGAAGUUUAUGUUGACCAAGAACCUAGCUUUAAAUAUCCUUCUCAUCCAGAUCAUGUGUACAAGCUAAAGAAGGCGCUCUAUGGACUUAAACAGGCACCUUGGGCAUGCUAUGAUAAACUGUAACGUCCUCCUAAUCUAGGACUGUUACACUGUGUACUUAAAAUUGUGUCAGACCUGCUAAUCAGGUCAUUUGGUUUAAAAUGUGCAACUAAGGUCUGUGACAAGGGUUAGGGUUAAAAACAUUGGUCAAAGAACUAUUGAUUUUUAUUUAAAAAGUUUCAUAUACACAUGGGAUCCCAAAUAUAUUAUAACUAAACUGUCAAAAAGGUAUGUAUACAUCAAAAUUACACGUAGCCGGCCUAAGUGGCAAAACAAGGCUUCAACC